AAAAACUUACAUAUAUAGUUUCACGAGUUGUAUAUGACUUCCAGGAAAGGAAUAAAAUAUCCUUCCAUCAAAAGCUACUUUAAUUAUAGUUUAGCAUAUAUGCUAUUGGUAUAGGCUACAAACUCUGUACAUCUUUUUACUCCUUUCUUUUUGAAGAGGAAAAUUUUAGCAAUCAUGAACAAUAAUACUCUUGAUUUUAAUCUUAUUUAUUAGUCAUUUUAGAAAU
rnacentral:misc_RNA from 1 species